rnacentral:misc_RNA from 1 species
AGCAAAUGGUGUCUUGAGCUCGGCGCGCAUCAUGUAAUCGAUCAUUCCAAACCGAUGAAGGAACAGAUCGCCGCGCUGAAAGUUCCGCCAGUGGCGCUGAUCGCAGCGCUCACCAACACCGAACAGCACUUCGCGGCACUUGCCGAUGUCGUCGCGCCGCAAGGCAAGCUCGGGCUGAUCGAUGAUCCGGCGUCGCUCAAUGUCAAUCUCCUGAAGGGCAAGGCGGUAUCGCUGCACUGGGAAUCGAUGUUCACGCGCUCAUCGUUCC